rnacentral:rRNA from 1 species
GACGAACGCUGGCGGCGUGCUUAACACAUGCAAGUCGAACGGUGAAGCGAGUGCUUGCACUCGUGGAUCAGUGGCGAACGGGUGAGUAACACGUGAGUAACCUGCCCAUCACUCUGGGAUAAGCACUGGAAACGGUGUCUAAUACUGGAUACGACCAACCCUUGCAUGGGGUGUUGGUGGAAAGAUUUGUCGGUGGUGGAUGGACUCGCGGCCUAUCAGCUUGUUGGCGGGGUAAUGGCCCACCAAGGCGACGACGGGUAGCCGGCCUGAGAGGGUGACCGGCCACACUGGGACUGAGACACGGCCCAGACUCCUACGGGAGGCAGCAGUGGGGAAUAUUGCACAAUGGGCGAAAGCCUGAUGCAGCGACGCCGCGUGAGGGAUGACGGCCUUCGGGUUGUAAACCGCUUUCAGCAGGGAAGAAGCGAAAGUGACGGUACCUGCAGAAGAAGCACCGGCUAACUACGUG